rnacentral:rRNA from 1 species
GAUGAACGCUAGCUACAGGCUUAACACAUGCAAGUCGAGGGGCAGCGGUAUCGAAGGCUUGCUUUCGGUAGCCGGAGACCGGCGCAGGGGUGAGUAACGCGUAUCGAACCUUCCUCAUACUCGGUAAUAGCGGUGCGAAAGUAAGAUUAAUGCCCGGUGUUUUCAGAGUCCCGCAUGAGGCUUUCAACAAAGAUUUAUCGGUAUGAGAUGGCGAUGCGUCCCAUUAGCUUGUUGGCGGGGUACCGGCCAACCAAGGCAUCGAUGGGUAGGGGAUCUGAGAGGAAGCCACCCUACAUUGGAACUUCGACCCGGUCCAAACUCCUACGGGAGGCAGCAGUGAGGAAGACUGUUGAAUGGGCGCAAGCCUGAACCAGCCAAGUAGCGUGAAGGAACACGCCCGUCCGGGUUGCAAUCUGCUUUUAGUUGGGAACAGCACGUGGAUCGCCCGCUCCUCUGCCUGUACCAAAAGAAUAAGGACCGGCUAAUUUCGUG